CACGUAGGCACCAAGCGUUGUCCGGAUUUAUUGGGCGUAAAGAGCUCGUAGGCGGUCCGGUAAGUCGGUUGUGAAAACUGGGGGCUCAACCCUCAGAGGCCGACCGAUACUGCCGGGCUAGAGUCCGGAAGAGGCGAGUGGAAUUCCUGGUGUAGCGGUGAAAUGCGCAGAUAUCAGGAGGAACACCAAUGGCGAAGGCAGCUCGCUGGGACGGUACUGACGCUGAGGCGCGAAAGCGUGGGGAGCAAACAGG
rnacentral:rRNA from 1 species